CCCUUAGAUGUCCUGGGCCGCACGCGUGCUACACUGACGCCUACAGCGAGUACUUCCCAGCCCCGAGAGGCGGCUGGUAAUCAGCAAUAGGCGUCGUGAUGGGGAUAGAUCUUUGGAAUUCUGGAUCUUGAACGAGGAAUGCCUAGUAAGCGCAGGUCAUUAGCCUGCGCUGAUUACGUCCCUGCCCUUUGUACACACCGCCCGUCGCACCUACCGAUUGAAUGGUCCGGUGAAAUCCUCGGAUCGAGCUGCGGGGCAACCCCGGUUCGAGAAGUUGAUUAAACCUUACCAUUUAGAGGAAGGUGAAGUCGUANCA
rnacentral:rRNA from 1 species